GAAGGGAGCUUGCUCCUGGAUUCAGCGGCGGACGGGUGAGUAAUGCCUAGGAAUCUGCCUGGUAGUGGGGGAUAACGUCCGGAAACGGGCGCUAAUACCGCAUACGUCCUGAGGGAGAAAGUGGGGGAUCUUCGGACCUCACGCUAUCAGAUGAGCCUAGGUCGGAUUAGCUAGUUGGUGGGGUAAAGGCCUACCAAGGCGACGAUCCGUAACUGGUCUGAGAGGAUGAUCAGUCACACUGGAACUGAGACACGGUCCAGACUCCUACGGGAGGCAGCAGUGGGGAAUAUUGGACAAUGGGCGAAAGCCUGAUCCAGCCAUGCCGCGUGUGUGAAGAAGGUCUUCGGAUUGUAAAGCACUUUAAGUUGGGAGGAAGGGCAGUAAGUUAAUACCUUGCUGUUUUGACGUUACCAACAGAAUAAGCACCGGCUAACUUCGUGCCAGCAGCCGCGGUAAUACGAAGGGUGCAAGCGUUAAUCGGAAUUACUGGGCGUAAAGCGCGCGUAGGUGGUUCAGCAAGUUGGAUGUGAAAUCCCCGGGCUCAACCUGGGAACUGCAUCCAAAACUACUGAGCUAGAGUACGGUAGAGGGUGGUGGAAUUUCCUGUGU
rnacentral:rRNA from 1 species